GACGAACGCUGGCGGCGUGCUUAACACAUGCAAGUCAGGGGGUGGGGCAACCCAUCACCGGCGAACGGGUGCGUAACACGUGAGCGACCUGCCCUGGUGUGGGGGAUAGCCGGCCCAACGGCCGGGUAAUACCGCAUACGACACGGCCCGGGCAUCCGGGGCGUGUGAAGCCUUUUGGGUACUAGGAGGGGCUCGCGGCCUAUCAGCUAGUUGGCGAGGUAACGGCUCACCAAGGCGAUGACGGGUAGCUGGUCUGAGAGGAUGGCCAGCCACAUUGGGACUGAGAGACGGCCCAGACUCCUACGGGAGGCAGCAGUGGGGAAUCUUGCGCAAUGGCCGAAAGGCUGACGCAGCGACGCCGCGUGGGGGAUGAAGGUCUUUGGAUUGUAAACCCCUGUUGCCCGGGACGAAUGCCGCCUUUAGAGGCGGGUGACGGUACCGGGUGAGGGAAGCACCGGCUAACUCUGUGCCAGCAGCCGCCGUAAU
rnacentral:rRNA from 1 species